rnacentral:rRNA from 1 species
UGGAUGAUGUGGUUAAUUCGAAGCAACGCGAAGAACCUUACCAGGGCUUGACAUCCCUUGAAUCGGAGGAAACUUCCGAGUCCUUCGGGACAAGGAGACAGGUGGUGCAUGGUUGUCGUCAGCUCGUGUCGUGAGAUGUUGGGUUAAGUCCCGCAACGAGCGCAACCCUCGACCUUAGUUGCCAGCAUUCAGUUGGGCACUCUAAGGUGACUGCCGGCUAAAAGUCGGAGGAAGUGGGGAUGACGUCAAAUCAUCAUGCCCCCUAUGACCUGGGCUACACACGUGCUACAAUGGGCGGUACAAAGGGUCGCGAACCCGCGAGGGGGAGCCAAUCCCAAAAAGCCGCUCUCAGUUCGGAUUGCAGGCUGCAACUCGCCUGCAUGAAGCCGGAAUCGCUAGUAAUCGCGGAUCAGCAUGCCGCGGUGAAUACGUUCCCGGGCCUU